CCCGGAAGUGCCGCGCGGAGGGCGCCCGCGCUCUUUCCAGGCCCCGUGGCCGCCUCUUGGCCCGCGCUCCUCGCCUCUCCUUGAGGCCUCCCCGCCGCCCUCCCGCCAUGGCCCGGGGGGCAGACGAGGCGGCCGCGGAGGGGGAGCUGGGAGAUGACAGUCUGUCUGUGAUAACCUGUGAAUCGGAUGCCGAAUUGAAGCUAAAGAAGAAAAUCCUUCACAAGCCUCCAAAGUCACCAAAAUCUCCAUACAGCUCUAGCACACAACUGUAUCCUAAAAAAGCUGCAGUUCGGCGAUCUCUGCAUGGAACAGGCAGUGCACGUCUUGAGGGUGCAGCUGUGAAAAACCCAAGGCAGAUGUGGCUGGGAUCAUUGAAACAAGGAAUGAGCUAUCCUCUGAAAUCAGAAGCUGACAUCAGCCAUAUGCGAACUAACAUUUCUAGCAGCACUCCAGAAUAUUUGAAGGAAGCUCUAGGAAUGAAGAAGCCAAAACAUUCUCGUUCUUCUAGUAAUGGCUACAUUCCUGGAACUCCUGACUACAAAGAAAAAGAAGAUAUGUAUGAUGAAAUUAUAGAACUGAAAAAGACAAUACAAGCUCAGAAAAAUGAGGGAGAUCUAAUGAAAACUAAGCUCCGUCGACUCGAAGAAGAGAACAAUAGAAAGAAUAAACAGAUUGAACAACUGUUGGAUCCUUUCAGGGGAUCUGAGCUGGAACGAGCUUUGUCAGAAAAGAAGACUGAUAAUGGAUGGGUGGUUAGUGGACUAAAGCAGAAGAUUCUCAAGCUAGAAGAACAGUGCAAGGAGAAAGACAACACUAUUAACAAAUUCCAGGCAGACAUGAAGAACACUAAUUUGGAAGAAAUGAGGAUUGCCUUGGAAACCUGCUAUGAAGAGGUUCAUCAUCUCCAACUCCUUCUGGCGAAAUCUGAGACUAUAAGGAAAAAUACAGAGGGCAGAGAUACUCAAAAACGACUAAAGGCACUGCAUGCUGCUGUCCUGAGAUUAUCCAGGAACAUCAAGGAAUUGCAGAAUGAGAAUCGGAGGCUGAAAGAAGAUCUAGAUUAUGUACUGAGCGAUUCUUCUCCUUCCAAUAAAACAAAAAAUUAUAGUGAGUGGAGCAAACAGAGGCUGCUGAGGCGGAUUUCAGAGCUAGAAAGAAAAGUAUGUGCCAUGGAGAACACCAGGGCAUCAGCAGCACAUAGUGAGUCAUCACAGUUACUUGCUGUGUCGUCUUCACCUUCUGAAGACCUGGAUCACCCAGUCUCUCAAGAGGUAGACCAUGUUGAGGAAUGUCGUCGCCUCCGAGGGCUGGUGAAGAAACUAAGGAGUGAUAGGAAGGCACUUCAAAAUCUCUUAUUCAAUAAAGAGUUAGAUAUCAAGCAGUUACAGCAGGCAAAGGCUGCAGUGGAGCUGGAGCUGCAGAAGUGGCAGAAUAAGAUGUCAGAAAAGAGUACAGAAGAGCAGACUUUAAGUGAGGAAAUCCAGAACUUGACACAGAAAGUAGGGAAAUUGGAGUCAAAAUUGGAGGAGAAGAAGAGACAAAUGACAGAAGAUACGGUGGAAAAGCUUAAUGAGUCGUCACCAGUCUGCGCAGUUAACGGCAAAGAAAAUCACAGGAAGGAACAAGCAGCCAAAAUCAUCCAGAGAUACUGGAAGACAUACCGAAACAAGAAAGAAGAAACUGCUCUGGAUGAGGUAGUUGUUAUGCUUCAGGCAGCUUUUAGAGGACAUUUAGCUCGACAGAAACUGUUACUGAAUAACAGGACGUAUGACGCAAAAUCUCACAACAAGAUCUCCUGCACAUCUCCUGUGUCGAACUCCUUGAGCUUGUCUUCUGACUGUGAGGAGAAAGAUGAGACUGUGACAUUCAUCCAGUCCAUUUUCAGGGCUCAUUUAGCACGCACAGCACUGCUCGAGGAGAGGCCGUCUGUGUCCAGUGCACCAAGUGAGGAAGCAGAUUCUGCAGGUUACGUUACAGAGAAGAAACCAGGCUCAGCAGCGCUCCAGAGACCUCCUUCAAUCUUCAUGUCAUCUCUUCCUGCCAGGUCCUCUGAGAAGCAAUCGCAGCUUACUCCCUCUCUGUCUGUGGAUGAAGCUCACUCAGACGAUUCUGAUGAUAUCGUCAUUGUCUCUCCUCUGUUGCAAAUGAAGAAAAAUUACACUCACUUUUAAGUUUCGAUAACAGGUUGUGGUGAUCUUGAAUUAUUCAAUUCACAAACAAAAUAGAAAAAGGGGAAUAUCAGCCCUUUUUUAAUGACAGCUGUCAUUAUUUCAGUUAUAAAUGAGUAAUUGUUUGAUAUGCUGUCUCUGCAGACUAUGGCUAAUGCCACUGACUGUUAACCUUAUCCUCCUGGUACGCAGACAGAGUUUGGAUUUAAAAACUAAACCAAAAUAAUGUUUUGUCUCACAGUGAGAAUUGUAAAUUCAAUUACCAAAUUUAAAUGAAAGCGAUAAGACCUUAAGCUAUUUCAUGUCAAGCAAAGUUUUGUUUCAAGUCAACUAAAAUACUUUAUUUAAUCAGAAAGCGAUUAAUAACAUGGCUCUGAUUUUCGGCCUGUUUACGUAAAGGGGAACAGCUUGUAUUUGUUACCAGGACCUCUCUACUUAAAAAUUUUACUGUAUUAUAUUCUAAUAUCUGUUUUGUUUAUUUUUAUACCAAACAUUUAGAGUCUGUGCAGUCCUUGUAAAGGCCAUUUCUUUAUCGUAGGGCUAUUCUAGGCCCACUGUAUCAGCAGGGUUUUGUUAUUUAUUGCUUUUUCCAAGCGUACUUGCUAUCACAUGUAUAGUACCAUUUUGUAUUUGCAAUGUCCAAUCACGUAAUCAAUUUUUUGUGUUUGUCAGAGACAAUGCGUAAUAGUAGGAGUAGGUUCUGUAAAGGAUGUCCUUGUGACUGCUUUUUCUGCUAACGUAUCACAAAUACGAGUGGAUUAUGCAGGGUCGUCUCUAAUACGUGAAAAUGUUUGAUGUCGGUGCUACACGGCUUCAUGUCCUGUUUUAGCUUACGUCACUUAACUGUCUGAAAGUUUCACCUAGCUAGAUUGCUCAUACACUGAGCUCUAAGGGGUUUCAAGUCGAAUGCUGCUUUGCUGUCCUUGAUCUUCUCAGUACUACUUUUCCAUAUGCACAUAUUGUAUAUAUACUGUGAGUUCACAUUAAGUUCAGUCACAGGCUGGGAGAGGGAUCGCAAUAUAGAGCCAUUGUCUGUCGUUAGGUAAAGCUACAAGGCUGACUGCUGGAUAGUGUGUGCACUCAGAGCUCUGUUCCGAGGGAUAGGGAUUGGGAUGAGCAUAAUAUACAAAACCUAACCCAUGCACUUUGGUUUGGGAACAGAGGUGGUAGGUUGGAUUAUAAUAUCCAGAAAUAACACUUGAGAAUAUUGUUGUCCAUGGAAGGACCAAAGACGUGAUGAGCUGUGGAGAAUACGAUCAGAGGCGUCCUUUAUGCACUGUACCCUGGAAGGGAGGAUGUUAUAGUUCCUGCUAUCACGCCAACAUUCUUCAUAGGCAUUACAAUGUGUGCGGGUUUUUAAGGUGAACCAGAUAAAUUAUAUGGUAUUUACUGAAAGAAAAAUUUAAUUUUACAGUGACACAGUGAAGUCUUUGUGGAGAGCCUAAUGGUUUCUUUGUCAUCAAGGAGUAAUAAGGACUCCUGUAAACAGAAAGCACACUUUUAAAUAUAAGAUUUUUAUCACUUUUUCCCUCUUCUUUUUUAAAUUAAAAAUCAGUCGACAGUGUUUCACAGAAUACUAAUAAGUCAGAGCUGUCUCGGUUCUUUGAUUUCAAUGAAGCGCUAUCUGAGGCUUAUCAUAGUUCAUGCCAGUACUCGCAGCUAAAGAGAAACUGGAUGGCUGCAGCACAAUGCAGCUGAUUUCAUUUAAUCCCAUCAGUGGAAAUGCUGCCUGUGCUAUUUCCAAAGGCAGUUUUGGGAGCUCUCCAUACCCAAAGCAGUCUGAAGAAUGUCAUUUACACUCCCAUUGGGUAAAUUUUUCCUGUUGGUACUUCAGUGAUGUGACUGUCAUCUGCAGAAAGAAUAAAAAAAUAUAUAAAAUAAAAGAAUAAAAGGGAUAGCUUCUUGGCAGAAGCUGAGACCUGUUUCCCAUGUUUUCUGGAGGUCAUGUUAUAAAAGUCAUUUUGACAAACAGAAGCAGACCCAUACUGAGUUGUUUAUGUAUAAUAUUUCCAGUCUGUAACUGUGACCCUGUCAUGGAUACCUCCAGAGAGUAACUAGAGCUGAGGACUCUGACUCAUUAAGGGGAGAGUAGGUAGUGUGCCAGGACAAAGGCUGAUAUAAAAUACCUACCUAGCUGUUAUCCUAUAAGGAAACUCUUGGCCAGCAAAUGUAAUGAAGAUUGCAUUCUUUUACUUUCCUGUGCUGUAAUAAUCAAUAUGAAAGUAUUAGGAAAUAAAUACAGAGCAGAACUAUUUGUGUUGUAGCUGAGCAUAUGACUAGCAGUGGCUCACAAAUAGACAGAUUCUGGGACAAAGGAAAGAUAGUAUCUUGGUAUGACCCAAAGGCACAGACAGAAAUUGGGGUGAAAAGGGGCAAAUGUUUUCUAGGAUGAAUGAAAAUGCAUCUAGAGCUUCCUAAAUUUGAGUCUAUCUCCUAGCUAUCAAAAAUUGGAUACUUAACCUGAGCCAGGCUUCAAACUCAUGUCCUAGUUUAGAAGGUAACUAUGUGCUCACUGCACCUCAAAAGUUUGGUGUGGUACAGUAGAAAAAGAAAUCUCCACAGCGUUAGUAGCCUUUAAUGUUGUUUCAUUAUAUACUGUAGUGGAAGAUGUUGAAUGGAUCUUGCACUUGGGCCACAACAACCCCAUGCAACAUUCCAGGCUUGGGGAUAAAUAGCAGGAAAGCUGUCUGGCAGAAAAGGACCUAGGGAUGUUGGUCGGUAGCCAGUUGAAUGUGAUCUAUCAAUGUGCCCAGGUGGCUAAGAAGGCCAACAGCAUCCUGGCUUGUAUCACCAAUGGUGUGGCCAUGAGGAUCAGGACAGUGAUCAUCCCCCAGUACUCUGUGCUGGUGAGUCUGCACCUCAAAUCCUGUGUUCAGUUUUGGUCCCCUCACUACAAGAAAGACAUUGAAGUGCUGGAGCUCGUCCAGAGAAUGACAGUGAAGCUGGGGAAGGGUCUGAAGCACUAAGAUUAUGAGGAGCAGCUGAGGGAACUGGGGUUGUUCAGUCUGGAGAAGAGGAGGCUGAGGUGAGACCUUAUCCCUCUCUGCAACCACUUGAAAGGAAGGUGUUGCGUGGUGGGUGUUGGUCUCUUCUCCCAGGUAACAACUGAUGGGGUGAGAGGAGCUGGCCUCAAGUUUUGCCAGGCAAGUUUAGACUAGGUAUUAGGAAAUAUUACUUCAUGGAAAGGGUUGUCAAGCAUCAGUACGAGUUGCCUAGGGAAGUGAUUGAGUCACCAUCCCUGGAGAUGUUUAACAGACAGGUAGAUGAAAUGCUCAGGGACAUACUCUCGUGGUGGAGUUGGCAGUGUGAGAUUUAUGGUUGGGCUUGAUGAUCUUAAGGGACUUUUUCCUAACCUAAACAAUUCUGUGAAAGGACCUGUAGUUGGCACUAGGUUUCGUUCUGUGCUUCUGUCUGAAUGCCAGCACCUGUAAAUCUGGGAAGUAUGGAACAAUGAAGGAAGAAAAAAAGUUCAUUUUGGAAUCAAUGGUAUUUUUCCUUAACAGGGAGCUGAGGACAGUAAAAAUCAGUGUGGCUCAAGCUUGAGAAAAUAGGACCAAAAGAAACAUAUUCAGUUUCUGAAAAAUUGGUCUUCUGUAGAAAGAAAAUACAUCUUUUGUAGUAACCUUGUGGGGGCGUCAAGGUCUUGAAUUAAAAUUAAACUCCACUGUAACCUGCAUGAUCUAUCAGCACACUUUCCAUUCUGCUGAUACGGGUUAAUGUUGCCUACUUAAAACCUUUCGCAAUUUACAGUAGAGAUCAUGUGUGAAUAGAGAGAUCUGAUUUUCAUGGGGUGUUAUCACUCUUGAUCUCUUUUUGCCCUUAAGUGCCUAUGCCUGUAAAUCUUUGCUGAGGUAACCAGAGCUGGAAACUGUAUUGUUUUCUGGGUAGCUAUAAAAAUAAUCCCUGCACAGGCAACUUUUAAUGUAGUUGAAAUGGAAAAGGAUUAAUUCUGCUAUCUGAGAGCACCAUUAAUUUUAAUGAUCUUUUUAAUAUUUAGAACUGUGCAAGUCUCUUAUGUAAUUUAUUUUGGGGUCUUUUAAAUGCUUGCAGUGUAUUUUCUCCUAAUACUUGAAGUUUCAAAUAAAGUAUGUAAAUGAAUUGUUCGUGCCUUCCUGCUGCAGGUGCUGCAUUUGCGUUACUGCUCUGGCCUCUGCUCCCUGCCCUUCUUUUUUCCCUUUGCACCUAAGUUGACCCCUUACCUCUGACUGGUUUUGUGAGCUGAUGGCAACAAGAUCCAGUGAAAAAGCCUUUAUGGACUCCCAAAAAACCUAAGCCUUGUGCUUCUUUAUAAAGACAGAAGACCCUGCUAACUGCUACGAAGACAUGGGAAUCCUGCAGUCAUUUUCCUGUCAAGCAGAGUCCUUGCUGUAAGACUAAACCAGCUGUAAGAGUACAAGACUGAAACAAUCAAUCUGUGGUGAAUAGCGUAUCUGAAUUUGACUUUUGUAGCUCUGGAGUCUCUUCUCCGCUGAUUUAUGCUCUGGGUUCCUUAGCAGAAACUUCAGUUUUAAAUCUUAAAUGCUGGAGGUGAACCAUGUAGCAUGAAGGGAGAAAUUUUAAUAUGAUUUCUUGGAGCAGAUUAGUCUUGAACUCAGCUGAAAGCAAUUAAAUGUUCACACUAGUUUAUUAAACCAUACUUUAGCUUCAUCUGAAGUCAGAGUGCCCUUGACUUGCAAGCUUUGCAGCAUCUGUUUAUGGUAGGUUUGUCAGCUAACUAAUUGCUUUCCUCACAUGAACUUCUAAGGGUGGAAAAAAAAAAAAGUUUCAUUCAUUCUUUGGGCAUCAUUAAGACUUGCCAAGAGCGAGAUUUCCAUCUUAGGCUCUAGGUUCUUGGGGGAGGAUUUUCAGGCAUGGUUCCUGCCUGGUGCUGCAUCAGUUCCUCUGUUUCCUUCUAACAUUUGCUGCUGUGGUUCUUUGGUAGAGACAGUACUGAGAUCAGUCUCUGAAUGCCUGCCCUAUUUUCAGACGUGUGUAAGGCACUUCGGUGCUUGCUUGUACAUGGCCUUAAGCACUUACUCUUCCCUCGCUCUGCUCAGAGGAGUAGCCUUGAAGGGUGAGUGUUGGUAGGUUCUAAUUAACUGUGCUACGUUGUAGUCUGCUGAUUAGGUUGUACUCUGUCCCUCUUGCCCCUUCCACUGGCCGGCCUAGCUGCCUCUUUCAAAUCUGAGAGCAUUUGUACGUCUUUUCUGGACUCUAGGAAGGCAUUAAUGCUCCCCUCACUGGAGCUGUGUAUAAAGAAAAACUCCCCUCUCACGGUGUUGCUCAGACUGCAACAGCUUUACUACUUGGUAGGGGUUUUACCAACUUGCUGCAAAGACACUUUGUGCCUUUAGGGCUUCUGUUCUUGGUAGUGCAAGUAGAUGUAUCAUAAAAUCUUGAUGUUCAAAAUGGCCUGGGAAGAGCUAGGAGGGAUAUCGUGUUUUUGUAAAGGCCUCUCUUACCUCCCUCGCUAUGGGCCAGAUAAUAUCACACUUGGAUCUUGCUCCUCUGCCCCUCCUCAGUCCGUUGGCUCUGCGGAGAAGAGGCUUUGCUUCAGUAAUGUAACCAAGCUUGAAAGUCUUUCCUGUAAUAUGAAUUUAGAACUGAAACACUGUAGAACUUGUGAUUACAGUGCUGCUCUAAAAAAAAAAAAAAAAGAAAAAGAAAAAAAGGCUGUGUUUAAGUGGCUUCUAGUUAUAUGCAUGGAAAAUUAGAAUAGCUUUUACUAAAUGGGGAUUGACCGUGGAUGCCUGUAGUACCAGUUACAAUAUUCUGUGCAAACAUUACUUAGUGUUGUCAUUACCUAGCAAAAAUCUUAUUUGUAUCUUACACAAAUUGUGGCAAAACCUUCUGUUUAUCUAACCUGGAAAUUUUUCCUGAACAGGCUUUCUAUAAUUUACACACAGAAUUGGCAGUUUUCUUCCUCCUCUGACAGAUAUUUAAUAGUCAUGUAUUGCAUUUCUAUGCUGGUAAGCCUUUGUUAUUAUACAAAGUGUACUAGAAUGUUGUGAAGAAAUAUCUUAAAUAAUUAAACAGAAACUAUGAGUGACAAAACAAACUAACGAAGUGCAAUUUGAGCUCUGUUAUUCUUUCCUUUUUGUAUUCACUUAUUUGCUAAUUUGCUGAACUUACUGAACUGCAAUGGAUCUCUCUGUGAUUAGAGAGAAUUUGCCAAGUUCCUUUGUAAUUGUUUCUUUGCAAUUAACUAAAUAAUAGAAUGUUCUGUGGGUUGCUCUCUGGGGAAAGGAAAGUAGUGGGCAGGUGCUUUUGCAAUAGGAUUUCCACAUCUCCCACCCAUUUCCCUGGAACUCACCAAGCGUAAAAAGACUGGUAGAAUGUGAUGAGGAGAGAGAAUGUUGCCUCAGGACUGGAAAUGACAGCAUUAACCUUUACAUGUAAUUUCUCUGAGUUUCCUUAAAGCUUUUUAUGCUGGCCCUGGUUGUGAUUAUUCUUCGUUUAAACCAAAAAGUCCCUAGGAGGACUUCAGAGGAAAGGGAUGAAGACCCAGAUUUGUGUUCAUGUCUGCAGCCACCUCCAUUCAGGGGAAAUCCUUCAAACUAGGAGGACAAGUCACCUGGGAAGAGCCUCUGCAAUGUGGCUUUGCUGGGAAGAGCGGUGCCCGGGCACCGAGCUUUUGUGGAGGGGGCAGUGAAAUCUGGGAGAGCCUGGAGGGCAGCCCUGGCUGUGUUUUUACCUUUGGCUUUCAGCAGAAAAAUACAGAGGAAGCCCUGGGAGGAGAGGAAGGGUAAUCUUAAUAGAGGCACAGUCUAGCUCAGCAGGAAGGAGGCACGGCGUGAUGUAAGGGCAGAUUUUAUGGAGCAGCAGAGGUGAGCAGGGCAGAGGUAUUGCCUAACAGUGUCAGAUGAGUGCUGAGACACAGUUGUCUCGCUGACCUCCCUCUGACUGCCCGUAAUUUAGCCCCUGGUCUCAAGAGGGUAACUCAUCCAUCUGCUGGCACUUGGAGUUCAACAUUGCCUUUUUAUAAAAAAAUAAAAAAAUCUGUAUUGUUGGCUAAAUCCUUUCAUAACAGUCUGACAGCCAGGGGAAGGCUUCUUGCUUCACCGUAUAUUAAAAGCUGAAUUAUUGCAUUUCCUAGUGAAUAAGAAAAGCCAGUGGUAUGGACUGCUGCUCUAAAAGGUGUUCUCAUUGCAAGUAGCACAUCAACAGUGGAGAUGUCUGGAGUCAGAGAGAAGCUUGUGAAAAAUGGAACAUUUCUAGGAGUGCUUUUGCAGAUGGCCUGAUGGUCUCAAGGGGAGAGGCUGCCUUAUUUUGGAGGGUUAAACUGUUUUUUUGUUUUUAUUUUCACUGUCUUUAAUUUCAAACAUCUCUUGUUGUGCCUGUUUUGUCCAGUGGUUCUUUAGCAAAGCUACUGUCAAAGCAAGUUAGCAAACCACUAACACGGCUCUUAGGGUUACUUUUCAGCAGGAUUACCAGCUGACAAGCUGACAUUUGCAGUUUGGUUUGGGUGCUUGUAGAACUGUUCCCACAAGGGAGAUUUACUGUUAGUUUUUAUUCCUGGGAUGUCAAAGCAGUAGCUUGUUGGUUCAUUUUGCUUUGGCAAAACACAGUGUGUGGGGAGGGAAAAAGGCUGCUGUAAUUAAAACAUGAGAGCCUUGAUAACUGUGAUGUUGUCAUGUAAUCAAGAACUACCUGAGUAGGAUCAAAUGAGAUGCUAGACAGCUAAGAAAUGCAAACACUGCUUUGUGACAUGGUACAACAGGCUGAAGUGCCCUGCCAUGGAAAGUACAGCUAGCCAUAGAUCCUGCGGUUUGCCUGUUAUUCCUAGUUUGCCAACUUCAUUUUGCUCUGCAUUUUCAUCUUUUUCCCUAUCAUUAUAAAUAAUUGUGGGGGAGAAAUUGAAACUGUUGAUGUCUCUGUUUCUCUGUAAUCCCAAAUCCUAAUUCUACUGUAAUUUAAUGCAGUUGUCUCAGCAGCAAAUGGCUGUGAGAGGCAUGCACACCAGUGCUGCCGAGCCUGCUCUCUUUUCCACUUACUCCUAUCCCCCAUAUGGCGCCUCAAACUGACGUGAUGAUACUCUGGUACUCUUACACCCCUAUUUAAUAGCAUCCAGCUUUUCUGUCACUUGUUCCAAAAUGUUUUGUCAAAGAAGAUCUCAGUGUGGAGUGCUUGCUGCAUCUGCUUCUAUUCCAUGUCUGUUCCAAGUCCAAAGGUACUUGGACUCGCAUCCUGGUGGGGUUUUUCUGUCUCCCCAGUGACCCAUGGCAGCAGUUACCUCUGCAGGAUAGAUUGCAGCCUUGAGCAUUUUGGUGCUGAAUUGCACGAACCCUGUGGCAUAAGUGGCUUACGCAGAGAGAUCUCUUGCCCUCAGCAAGGUCUCUUCCCUCCUUGUCUUCAGGUUGUUUGAACUGCAGGUGAAACAUAUUGGAUCAUCGGGCUUUAAAAUAAUUCCGUCCUCAUCCUUCUGAUAACUGUGAUAGCAAAAAAGGAAGAAAACAUUCAGUUGUCCUCCUGCAGAAAAAUAAAUACCUUCAUUGGAGAAGGCUGGAGGGAGCUAACAUCUUAUAUCUUGUAUAUCUUGUACUUGUGCCCAUACAGUGUGGCUGUGAACUCUGACGUGUGCCUUAAUGCUAUUUGGGAAUGAUAAGAUUGUUGUUUGGCUGUGUUGAUAAUACUUUCAUGAAAAUCCUGUCCCAGUCAAAAGCUAUUAAAGUUGAUGUUAUAUUUCAGAACAUCAGCAGAAAUGUGUUCAUUUGGUCCCAAUGUGUUAAAUAGCCCAUUUUAGUAUUUUUUCUUUCCUUAUUUAUAAAGUGCAUCAGUGAGGAGAGUGGACAGUAUGAAGUCCUAACUGCAUUUGCAAAAGGUAGUAAAAUUAUACUAGCCAAAGACAUGUCUCUAUAAUGUCUCCUAACCUGCUACCAUUUAGGAGAAAAAAACAGUUCAUAUUACCCUUUUUUCCCCGAUGGGAUACACAGCACUCCAGUAUUUUUUGAGUUUUCAUGGGCCAUAAUGAUUUCUAAUUCUAAACAGCUCUAACUAGAUGAGAGUUUCUCAAGCCUUUAAGAGCUCUGAGACAUUUGCAUGUUGUCUGGAAGGCUGGAUGGUCUUUUUUCCUCUUCCAACUCUAAAUUGUGUUGAGUGAUAUUUAAACCACGUCAUUUUCAGCUUGUCAGAUCAGGAUCAGCUGUGGGUAAAGGGUGCUGCUGCAGAGCUGGGAUGGGAGGUUUUUGUUUGGGUGACUGUACAGCGAGAGCGAAGGCCAUGGCGAUGGUCAGAAUAGACUGGCCAAGUUUAGAAAAUCCUGCAUUAACGCAGUGUCACACUACAUCGCUACAGAAACAUAGAAUCAUUUAGGUUGGAAGAGACCUUCAAGAUCAUCGAGUCCAACCGUAAAAUAGUUGGAACAAGAAUGAAAUUAUUUGACCUCUUCCUUUUAAAAGAAAACAGCAAAUAUUUUAUGCAUGUCAG